ensembl:rRNA 5S_rRNA 5S ribosomal RNA
CACCACAGCCAUGUCGCCCUGCAGCUCAAGACCGGUUACUUACUGAAGCUCAGCAGUACUGAGCUUGGUCGGUACCUGGAUGGGAGACCACAUGGGAAAACUAGGUUGCUGUUGGAA